AGGACGAACGCUGGCGGCGUGCUUAACACAUGCAAGUCGAGCGAGGCUCCACCUUCGGGUGGAUGCCCUAGCGGCGAACGGGUGAGUAACACGUGGGCAACCUGCCCCUAGCACUGGGAUAACUCCGGGAAGCCGGGGCUAAUACCGGAUAUGACCUUUGAGGGCAUCCUCUUUGGUGUAAAGGAUUCUGGCUAGGGAUGGGCCCGCGGCCUAUCAGCUAGUUGGUGGGGUAAUGGCCUACCAAGGCGACGACGGGUAGCCGGCCUGAGAGGGCGACCGGCCACACUGGGACUGAGACACGGCCCAGACUCCUACGGGAGGCAGCAGUGGGGAAUCUUGCGCAAUGGGCGAAAGCCUGACGCAGCGACGCCGCGUGGGGGAUGAAGGCCUUCGGGUUGUAACCCCUUCAGCAGGGACGAAGCGAAGUGACGGUACUGCAGAAGAAGCGCCGGCUAACUACGCGCCAGCAGCCGC
rnacentral:rRNA from 1 species